AAUUUUUGGCCGUCGUACCAGGCCGGUUUGGGCCGGUUAUGAUGACGAGUAAGAGUGGUUUCAGUCAAUUUUCAAGUGAGGAAGAUGCCAUUACUCUCAAUAUCAUCUCUUUGCACAGAGAAUUGGAGGGCCUGCUCACAUAGGAAAGGUAAGCAAGUGUUACCCUAGGUGUUUUUCUAUUUUCAAUUCUACCCCUCAUUUUUCUGUUCGCUAAUGGUAGCUAAAUGUUACGC
rnacentral:lncRNA from 1 species